ensembl:miRNA MIR548AP microRNA 548ap
ACCAAUUCCUAGGUUGGUGCAAAAGUAAUUGCGGUCUUUGUCAUUAAAACCAAUAACAAAAACCACAAUUACUUUUUACUGACCUAAAGAUUAAUU